rnacentral:rRNA from 1 species
CCUACGGGCGGCAGCAGUGAGGAAUAUUGGUCAAUGGCCGGAAGGCUGAACCAGCCAAGCCGCGUGAAGGACGAAGGUGCCAAGCAUUGUAAACUUCUUUUGUCAAGGGACAAAAUCAGGCUCGAGAGCCUGACCGAGUGUACUUUAAGAAAAAGCAUCGGCUAACUCCGUGCCAGCAGCCGCGGUAAUACGGAGGAUGCGAGCGUUAUCCGGAUUUAUUGGGUUUAAAGGGUGCGUGGGCGGUCCGGAAAGUCAGCGGGAAAAGCCCGGGGCUCAACCCCGGCGAGCCGUUGAAACUGGCAGACUCGAGACGGCGAGAAGUACGCGGAAUGCGCGGUGUAGCGGUGAAAUGCAUAGAUAUCGCGCAGAACUCCGAUUGCGAAGGCAGCAUGCCGGCGCCAGACUGACGCUGAGGCACGAAAGCGUGGGUAUCGAACAGGAGUAGAUACCCUUGUAGUC